CUUGGUCAUUUAGAGGAAGUAAAAGUCGUAACAAGGUUUCCGUAGGUGAACCUGCGGAAGGAUCAUUCAUAAUAAGUGUUUUAUGGCACUUUUUAAAUCCAUAUCCACCUUGUGUGCAAUGUCAGUCGAUCUUCUUCAUGGAGAUCGGCCAAACAUCAACCUUAUUUUUUAACUCUUUGUCUGAAAAAUAUUAUGAAUAAACAAUUCAAAAUACAACUUUCAACAACGGAUCUCUUGGCUCUCGCAUCGAUGAAGAACGCAGCGAAAUGCGAUACGUAAUGUGAAUUGCAGAAUUCAGUGAAUCAUCGAAUCUUUGAACGCAUAUUGCGCUCUUUGGUAUUCCGAAGAGCAUGCUUGUUUGAGUAUCAGUAAACACCUCAAAGCUUUUGGAUUUUUUUUGAAGGCUUUGGACUUGAGCAAUCCCAACGCCAAUCUUUUUCAGAUCGGCGGCGGGUUGCUUGAAAUGCAGGUGCAGCUGGACUUUCUCCUGAGCUAAAAGCAUAUUCAUUUAGUCCCGUCAAACGGAUUAUUACUUUUGCUGCAGCUAACAUAAAGGGAGUUUGACCGUAUUGGCUGACUGAUGCAGGAUUUUACAAGGGUCGGCAACGAUUCUUGUUAAACUCGAUCUCAAAUCAAGUAAGACUACCCGCUGAACUUAAGCAUAUCAAUAAGCGGAGGA
rnacentral:rRNA from 1 species